CAGUAGCCGCGGGAAUACGGAGGGUGCAAGCGUUAAUCGGAAUUACUGGGCGUAAAGCGCACGCAGGCGGUUUGUUAAGUCAGAUGUAAAAUCCCCGAGCUUAACUUGGGAACUGCAUUUGAAACUGGCAAGCUAGAGUCUUGUAGAGGGGGGUAGAAUUCCAGGUGUAGCGGUGAAAUGCGUAAAGAUCUGGAGGAAUACCGGUGGCGAAGGCGGCCCCCUGGACAAAGACUGACGCUCAGGUGCGAAAGCGUGGGGAGCAAACAGGAUUAGAUACCCGCGUAGUCCCUGUCUCUUAUAC
rnacentral:rRNA from 1 species